GACGAACGCUGGCGGCGUGCUUAACACAUGCAAGUCGAACGGAAAGGCCCUGCUUUUGUGGGGUGCUCGAGUGGCGAACGGGUGAGUAACACGUGAGUAACCUGCCCUUGACUUUGGGAUAACUUCAGGAAACUGGGGCUAAUACCGGAUAGGAGCUCCUGCUGCAUGGUGGGGGUUGGAAAGUUUCGGCGGUUGGGGCUGGACUCGCGGCUUAUCAGCUUGUUGGUGGGGUAGUGGCUUACCAAGGCUUUGACGGGUAGCCGGCCUGAGAGCGUGACCGGCGACAUUGGGACUGAGAUACGGACCAGAAUCCAACGGGAGGCAGCAGUGGGGAAUAUUGCACAAUGGGCGGAAGCCUGAGGCAGCAACGCCGCGUGCGGGAUGACGGCCUUCGGGUUGUAAACCGCUUUCGCCUGCGACGAAGCGUGAGUGACGGUAAUGGGUAAAGAAGCACCGGCUAACUACGUG
rnacentral:rRNA from 1 species